GAUGAAGAACGCAGCGAAUUGCGAUAUGUAAUGUGAAUUGCAGAAUUCAGUGAAUCAUCGAAUCUUUGAACGCACAUUGCGCCCGUCAGUAUUCUGGCGGGCAUGCCUGUUCGAGCGUCAUUACGCCCCUCAAGUCCCCUGUGGACUUGGUGUUGGGGAUCGGCGAGGCUGGUUUUCCAGCACAGCCGUCCCUUAAAUUAAUUGGCGGUCUCGCCGUGGCCCUCCUCUGCGCAGUAGUAAAACACUCGCAACAGGAGCCCGGCGCGGUCCACUGCCGUAAAACCCCCCAACUUUUUAUAGUUGACCUCGAAUCAGGUAGGACUACCCGCUGAACUUAAGCAUAUCAAUAAGCGGAGGA
rnacentral:misc_RNA from 1 species